GACUCGGUAGCGCAGCGGUCUAGCGCGCCUGCACGAUGCACACGAUUCCAUUGCUUGCAUUAUGGGAGGAGACCCUCAGUUCGACUCUGGGGCCGAGUUC